UACGUAGGGGGCUAGCGUUGUCCGGAUUUAUUGGGCGUAAAGAGCGUGUAGGCGGCCAGAUAGGUCAGCUGUGAAAACUCGAGGCUCAACCUCGAGACGUCGGUUGAAACCAUCUGGCUAGAGUCCGGAAGAGGAGAGUGGAAUUCCCGGUGUAGCGGUGAAAUGCGCAGAUAUCGGGAAGAACACCCGUGGCGAAGGCGGCUCUCUGGGACGGUACUGGCGCUGAGACGCGAAAGCGUGGGGAGCGAACAGG
rnacentral:rRNA from 1 species